GGGGUUGUGGUCUAGCUUGGCUAGGAUUCGCCCUUGGGGUGGGCGAGGUCGGGGGUUCGAAUCCUCCCAACCCCA
rnacentral:tRNA from 1 species